rnacentral:rRNA from 1 species
GACGAACGCUGGCGGCGUGCUUAACACAUGCAAGUCGAACGAAGUGGCGAACGGGUGAGUAACGCGUAAUCAACCUGCCCUUCGGGGGGGGACAACAGUUGGCAACGACUGCUAAUACCGCAUAGUGAAGGAGGGGGUUGCGGCGGCUUAGCUAGUUGGAGGGGUAACGGCCCACCCAGGCGAUGAUCAGUAGCCGGUCUGGGAGGAUGAACGGCCAAAUUGGGAAUGAGACAAGGCCCAGACUCCUACGGGAGGCAGCAGUGGGGAAUCUUCCGCAAUGGACGAAAGUCUGACGGAGCAACGCCGCGGGAGUGAUGACGGCCUUCGGGUUGUAAAGCGCUGUUAAUCGGGACGCGGUACCGGAAUAGAAAGCAACGGCUAACUACGUGCCAGCAGCCGCGGUAAUUC